rnacentral:lncRNA from 1 species
AAAAAAAAGAAAAGUUGCAAUAGCUUGGAUUGAUGAGUGUGCACUGCUGUCAUCAGUGGUUCUUUUUUCUUGUUUUUGUUUUUGUUAGGAUUGGGUUGGCCCUGAUAACAUUGAAGGGUAUGGCGCAGUGCAGGAUCUGGCUGAUUACUUGGCUGGACUAAGAGACCACCAUCUUGCGCUGACUCAGGAGGAAUGUAGUCAGGUCAUUGCUCUGUGGCAGGAACUGGGGGAGUAUGACAAAAAAAAAAACUGUCUACCCAGCUCGACACCAGACCAGCCUGAGCAAGGGACGAUUCCGGGCUACGAAGAAGAUUGUGGCUCCAGGUGUGGAGAGCACCAAAAGGUGAAUUAAACUAGGAAAACACAAUAUCUGAGUUAUGUAAAAAAAAGUUAAAUAUAAUGUAAGUCACACAUUAUUGUAAUGUUUUUAAAGCAUACAUUAUUUUUAACUACAGGUCUUUCAUCGGGGCUCACAGUCCUGCGCAGUGGCCCGACUGCAACAGAGUGGUUGAGGCGAUCUUUGUCAAGCUUUUUGCCAUCUACCCGAGCACUGUGCGCUGUGAGGGAAAGAAGCUGUCAAGAUACACUGUGGUGAUACGCACGUACAAAAACAUCAGGGAGUGCGUAGUCACAAACGCCAGGCUGAUGAGUGAGACCAUUAUAAAGCUACCUGACGUAAAUGCUGCAACAGUUUCACAGUGGUACUGCAGGCGGUGCAAGGCACAGGAGCAGGAUAUUUUAAAGCAGGGUCUUCCAGCUUUACAGGCCCCAAUGGCAGCUCCAUCAAGACUUCCACCUGCCCUGCAGAAAGGACAUACUUUUACAUUUGGCUCUUUAGCUCAGCCUCAUCCUUUUGUGCUGCCACCGAACACUGCUGGGCAGGCACAACUUAAAGGAAGACCACCAUCUCAGCCACCACCACCACCACCACCACCACAGACAUUGCUCUUUUUUCAUCCUGUUCCACCUGCCCCUCCAAAACCCUUAAUUACUUCCCCUCUAACAUUUCAGACACAGGUAACACCUCAAGCGGUUUCCUACACCACACAGCAGUAUAGGAAAAGAAAAAUGGAGGCAGAGCAGUCAGGUAUUUUUAAAAGAAAAUACACCAAAAAGAAAGACACUAUAGUUUGCAGCAAGUGCAAAAAGGACAGGAACCCUCCUACACAUCGCCAGUAUUUUGGCAACUGGUAUUGAGAAGAGACUGAGACUCAGUCCUAUGAUGAGUGGAGGGCUUUACUGGAGGAGCGCAAUUAUGGCAAAAAGUAAAUAAAGUGGGAAAUGAGGAACCUCUUUCCUCCA